GAGUGGUGUGUUAGAAAACAAGGACAGGUAUGAAAGUUUUUGCAAGUUUGCUGGGUGUGUGUUUGAGAGGAGAAAAAGAGUGAGAAAUGUGCAGUGAAAGAUAAGUGUGUUGAGGGUGCAGGGGGGGCAUUGCGUGCUGAAGGCUGUGCCAGAUCCGCGUAAUGACCUUUGGUGAGUUGCGACACCACGUACCCGAGCAGGUCCACCAGCACCGGAUUGAGUAGGCGAUCCAACUGGUAACAGUCUUAGACUACGAAAAUCCCACAGGUGAUUUACCGGUACCGCGGGGGUUAGGUGCCCACCGGACAUGUCCGGGCCCAACCAUGGGUAGGACCAUCGCGGGGGCAGUGGUUUGAAGCCAAAUGCUAUCUAGAAACCCCUUUGGGGGCUUCGUCGUGUUAACCGCGUAUCGGCUCGGGCACCAGCCUGCUAAGCUGGUAGAGCGUGGAUAGUCGCUCGCUCCAACCAGUGAGUUGCUGGAAGACCCUACAAUCUUCCAGUGUACUGGUAGUCUCUUCCUUGGAGGAGAGCGUUGAUCCGGCGUACCCGGAUUUCUUGUCCAUGGGGACCGUGAGGAUUAGGCUCUCAGAGCAGGUGCCGCACGUAAACAAAUAACUUUAAAUGUCCCUAUCUACUAUCUAGCGAAACCACUGCCAAGGGAACGGGCUUGGAAAAAUUAGCGAGGAAAGAAGACCCUGUUGAGCUUGACUCUAGUCUGGCACUGUAAGGAGACAUGAGAGGUGUAGCAUAAGUGAGAGAUGGCAACAUCGCCGGUGAAAUACCACUACUUUCAUCGUUUCCUUACUUACUCGGUUGGGCGGAGCGCGUGCCCCGAGGGCCUCGUGCCCCGGCGGUCACGGUGUUCUAGAGCCAAGCGUGUCAGUGUGGCGAGAGGCCUCGGCCGAUCGCCGUUAAUACUCCCGCGUGAUCCGAUUCGAGGAUACUGCCAGGCGGGGAGUUUGACUGGGGCUGUACAUCUGUCAAAGAAUAACGCAGGUGUCCUAAGGCCAGCUCAGCGAGGACAGAAACCUUGCGUAGAGCAAAAGGGCAAAAGCUGGCUUGAUCUCGAUGUUCAAUACGCAUAGAAACUGCGAAAGC
rnacentral:ncRNA from 1 species